AGCACCCAGUAGAGCUGCCCAGCCCUGGCAGCAGUGGGUGUGCUCACCUGGCUUUGAGUUCAGGCAGAUUUUGUCAUUGACACGGAGGAGAAAUCAGAUCUCCUUCAGUAAGCAGAGUAAUUAAAAAAAUGGGUCAAAAUAGAAUGGAAGUGAUAUUAUAAAGACGGAAGCUUAAGCAAGGCUUGUCCUACCGACGUUACUGGGGGUACUGGGAGGAAAUCAGGCAGCAAUAGAACUUUACCUAACUAGUGUUGCUAAAGUAAUUGGUUUCUGAUCUAGCGAGCGUUUUGAUAAUACACGUCUAUGAGAUGCUCUGCCUCCAUAGCUUAAAAAACGCUGACGAUGUUUUCCUAUUUGAGAGUUAUCUACAGAUGUCUUUAUUACACUGCUUCUCAAGCAUCUACUGACAAACAUCAGAGAAACACGUUAGAUGCUACAAUUUAAACUUUCAUCAUACCUGAAAGUAUACAUUUCUUUUUAAAGUGUAUUUUCAACAUGAAAAGAGCUAAAAAAUCACCGUUAAUAUUCCAUUGUGUGAUGUGUGUGAAAUCAAGACAAUUUGCAUAACUUCCAAAGGGAACCUCUGGAAAACAGCACUUUCGUUAUCAGUUAGAGAAGGUCUCUGCCUUUGCUGGCACAGCGUGGCGAAGAGGUACUCGAUGCAUCUUCUUGCUCUAGAAAGCUGCUUCUGGAAAAUUGCAGAUUGCAAGCAGUUUAUAAAUCACAAGCCGUUUUUUCCUUAAUCUUGCCAAUUUUAAUGAAGAAAAAACAUUUGCAUUUCAAUGUACAAAAGUCCAAUAAAACACUUCGUUUGGUUUUUUUUUUUUUUUUUUUUUGCUUUGUGACUGCUGGGUAAGGGUUGGGGCAAACUUAUUUAACAGGAAAAGUCUUCCAAUUCCCACUGUGAGCAACUUGGUGCUGAUUUGACUAGAGGAUAACGACCACCCAGAAAUAAAUAGCUAUAAAUACAUUCAUUGUUCCUAUCUCAAAAAUUAUCCACAUAGGGAAGACACAAAAUUGAAGUUAACUUAUUUGAAUCCAUUUCUUUACAAUGGGACGGGGCCGAGGUGUAGCAGAGUGACUCAGAACGGGGGGAGAGGAGGGGGGAAAUAGGGCAUAAAUUGGUCCAGUAUUGACAUUCAUGAAACAUACCAGUUAAUAGAAUUCCGCCGUUAAUUCAACCUUUAAAUGACUCUACUCAGUUGAUUUUUAUUUGCUUCAGGUAUACAUAAUGAAAGCAGUUUCCUUUGCAUCUUUGCUGAGGACAGGUAUAGUGGUACCCUGGAGACACUGUAACAACCCCCUUCAGUAUGCAUGUGCGUAUAUAUAAUUAUAUACAAAUAAUCAUGCAUCCACACACACAUUUGUAAUGCGACACUGCAUGUGACGGUUAAAUCCAUCAUCAUUCAUCAUUGGCAGCACUUGUUCCUCUGACUUGGCCUUGAUUACGUAACGCUUCCAGCUCCUUUUGAGUCUCAUCCUCCAUCCUCCUGAUGUCUUCCAUAGUCAGAUCGAUCCACUUGUCAAUCCAACAGAACAGCUGGCGAUGGAAGUUGGUAAAUAUCCUUUUUUCUUGCUUCUGUAUAAGGUUUUCCACUUUGUUCUGCAGUCCCCACCAUUUAAAUUUAAUCGUCACCAACUUGUAAGCACACAUCUUAGGGCACUCUUCAUCAGUUGCUAGCUCUUUCUUCCAGUUUGGCCCCAAAGGUCCUCUCUUAGUCUUAACUGACUGGAAUAACGCAGGGUCUUCAUCAGCUUUGUAGUCUCCUGGUUCUACUUGAGUUCUAUCUGCAAUGUCAAUAUGGACAACUUCAACACUCUUCCACGUGUUCGGAUCUAAAUUGUGCACGUUCUCUGAUGUCCCCAGAUCGGGUUUGUGCCAGGUCUCGAUUUUUAUGAAGAAGUCAUCUUUCAUGUACUCAUUCGUCACAAUUGUUCUACAGUAUGGAUAUGCAUUCCAGGCCUUCUCGUGGAACACCAGGGAGCCUUCUGGAGCAAUCAUUCUUACAAAACCAGGAACUUUACUCUUUAAAUGAUAGAUUUUGUGAGUAUAUUGUCCCUUCUCAUCGUCUUUUUCGUAAGGCUCGUUUAUUAAGACUUGAAUUCCUUCACCGCCUCCUGUUUCAUUUUUGCUAGCUUCUGCCACCGAAUAAAGUUGACCAACUUGAUACUCUUGCACCGAACAUGGCAAAACAACUCGGAAUUCCUUGAUCAGCACCAUCUUCCCCGCACCGUCCCG
rnacentral:lncRNA from 1 species